CACCCCUUUAGCAAGAUUCUUUAUGCUUCUUUGCUCUAAAAUACCUUUGUCACUAGUUAAUUCCAGGGGUCAGUCUCAUGAUAUUUUUCUUGUAAUUUAGUUGCUUAGUGGGAGAUUUUGGUCCACAGUAACUCAGCUCUUUCAUCUAAAAACUUCAGAGACCAUUACGGCACAUUGAGUCAACAAUUUUGCUCCUUUUUAUGUUAUCUACAAAGUAUGACUAAUGUGAACAUAGCAAGAUUUUAGGCAAAGAACACCCUAGGCCUUGCUUCCCAACUGCAUACUCAAGGGUUUUGUGUUGUUGCUUUUCUUCUGUUUUGAAUAUGAGGUAUCAGAGGAAGCAAUAAAAAAUUCAUGAUCAAAUUCAGUAUGACACAAUUUGAGUUAAAUCUUGAUGGGUAAAUGUGUGACAAUUUUUUCCACAUUUCUUAUUCUAUUUGAUUCAUCUACAACAUUUUGCCCUGAAGAAAAAUCUCACUUAAUUUCUCCUAGUCCUCCCCAACUUCUGAGUCUAUUUCAUUUGUUGGGGCAGGGGAAGUGAGGCAGAACUAUCUACCUUAUCGAUUAAUUGUGAAAUUUCAGUGAGAUGAACAUCAAAGCCUGGAAUUUAGUAAGCACUCAAGGAACACAAUUGCACUGCCCCUCUGUUCCUUCCCGUGCCUCGCAGGGCUCAAUCCUGGGUCCACCCUUUCAUGCCAUGUGUUCUUGGGUAGUGUCAUCUAC
rnacentral:lncRNA from 1 species